AAUAAACGAAUUUGUGUGUUUUUAGAUAGAAUUUUUGACUUUCUGUCUUAUUUGAAAAAUUUUUUAUGAUUAAUAUUUUUAUUGUUACUACAUGAUAAAACAUAAAUAGUAUUUUACGUGCGACUAUUUUUUUAAUUUUUUAAUAAUUUUUUUAAAAAGACGGAUGGUCAAACGCUCGAACGGCAAAACUCAGGAAUGCCUUUUUU
rnacentral:pre_miRNA from 1 species